UACAUAGGGUGCGAGCGUUAAUCGGAAUUACUGGGCGUAAAGGGUGCGCAGGCGGAUAUAUAAGUUAGAUGUGAAAUCCCCGGGCUUAACCUGGGAAUGGCAUUUAAGACUGUAUGUCUAGAGUUUGUCAGAGGGGGGUAGAAUUCCAAGUGUAGCAGUGAAAUGCGUAGAGAUUUGGAGGAAUACCAGCGGCGAAGGCGGCCCCCUGGGAUAAAACUGACGCUCAGGCACGAAAGCGUGGGUAGCAAACAGG
rnacentral:rRNA from 1 species